AGCGAACGCUGGCGGCAGGCCUAACACAUGCAAGUCGAACGGAUCCUUCGGGAUUAGUGGCGGACGGGUGAGCAACACGUGGGAACGUGCCCUUUGGUUCGGAACAACUCAGGGAAACUUGAGCUAAUACCGGAUGUGCCCUUCGGGGGAAAGAUUUAUCGCCAUUGGAGCGGCCCGCGUCUGAUUAGCUAGUUGGUGAGGUAAAGGCUCACCAAGGCGACGAUCAGUAGCUGGUCUGAGAGGAUGAUCAGCCACAUUGGGACUGAGACACGGCACAAACUCCUACGGGAGGCAGCAGUGGGGAAUCUUGCGCAAUGGGCGAAAGCCUGACGCAGCCAUGCCGCGUGAAUGAUGAAGGCCUUAGGAUUGUAAAAUUCUUUCACCGGGGACGAUAAUGACGGUACCCGGAGAAGAAGCCCCGGCUAACUUCGUGCCAGCCGCCGCCGUAA
rnacentral:rRNA from 1 species